AAAAAACCUUCAUUCAAUUUGAGACAACAGAACAUACCAAAAGAGCCCGCAACAAAAGCCACACUUACACUUGGCCUUCUCCUCGUCUCGUCCCCGUGUCAGAAGUACCAGACCCACUACAACAUUAUUGAAGUGAAGUCCUUUAGAGGAACCCCCAAAUGAAGUGUAGAUCACCUGAAUGGACAGGGAAAAAAUAGAUAAAAUUCAAGCUGUAAACAGCAACGAACAGGCAAAACUCUGGGAAAAUCUGAACAUUUGGAGAUAUAGAGCUUGGAUUUAAUGUCGAUAUGCAGAUGGGUGUUCGCUGGUGCAUUUACCCAGGCGCGAGAGGAUUGGAACAUUUCGAGCGUAGUUAUAAAGGUUUCCACCAGUAGGUGGAGAAAUGUGUCGCUGACCUAACACACCAAAAACAAAUCUGAACAAUUCAGAGUUUGUGCUGUGUAAUUACAACUGGAUCAUUUUCAUUGCGGGCCACCAGUAAAGUCAAUGUUGAUAUACAAGCAGGGGCUGGCGAGAAUUCUAGCACACCAUAAAAAAUAGUGCUACAGUAAUUAGACAUGGAAUGAAAUUUGUGCUGUGUAAUUUUUUACUACUCGUGGACACUACUGUAGUCAGUGCAAACGUACACUGUUCUAAAUAAUGAAGUAAACAUCCUUCCUUUCAGCUUCCAUCCUAAAUAGCCAAUGUGAUUUCCAAUGAAUACAAUUACAAAUGUCAUGAUCUGUGCACUGUAGUUCCUCUGCGGAGAGUGUUUGGCGCUUUGGUCCUCUUUUUUUCCCUCUCGCCUGCACACCUGGUUUCAAGCAGCACUCAACACAGCCUGCACUUAAGCCUGCAAGUUCCAGUGUUCCAACGCCAGAGUAUUCUCGCACCUGCGCGUGCCUUCCUGUGCCUCCAGCCACGAUGCCCACCCCAACCACACUGCCAAUCUCAACCCCUGCUCACGCUCCAGCCUCCUGCACGCUCCCUGCUCCUACGGACCGGGCCAAGCCUUGGAAUUCUCGACCCCGCGCUAACCUCAAUAAAUCCCCUUCCAACUGCU